AAUGGGAUAGCUGGGUCAAAUGGCAGUUCUAUUCCAAGUUUUCAAAGCUAUCUCCAUACUGUUUUCCAGAUCGGCUGCACUAAUUUGCACUCUCACCAGCAAU
rnacentral:pre_miRNA from 1 species